GUCAGUUUGGCCGAGAGGUUAAGGCGAUAGACUCGAAAUCUAUUGGGCUCUGCCCGCGUCGGUUCAAAUCCGGCAGCUGACG
rnacentral:tRNA from 2 species